rnacentral:ncRNA from 1 species
AAUCGCCUAAUUACUCGAAGACUUGCGUUCCUACGUGAGGUAUCAGUAGAGUGAUUAGGCGAUU